CAGCCGCCGCGGUAACACGUAGGUGGCAAGCGUUGUCCGGAAUUAUUGGGCGUAAAGGGCUCGCAGGCGGUUUCUUAAGUCUGAUGUGAAAGCCCCCGGCUCAACCGGGGAGGGUCAUUGGAAACUGGGAAACUUGAGUGCAGAAGAGGAGAGUGGAAUUCCACGUGUAGCGGUGAAAUGCGUAGAGAUGUGGAGGAACACCAGUGGCGAAGGCGACUCUCUGGUCUGUAACUGACGCUGAGGAGCGAAAGCGUGGGGAGCGAACAGGAUUAGAUACCCCAGUAGUCCCUGUCUCUUAUAC
rnacentral:rRNA from 1 species